rnacentral:tRNA from 1 species
GCCGGAGUGGCGGAACUGGCAGACGCAGCGGACUCAAAAUCCGCCGUUCAGCGAUGGACUUGUGGGUUCGACUCCCACCUCCGGCA